AUUCCAGCUAACUCAGGUAGUGAGUUGGAAGAAAAGGAGAAGGGAAGAAAUAAGUAAGGAUGCCGUGAAGUCCAAAGGAGCAUUUUGCUAAACAGUUUGAUAUGCUGUUCUUCUGUUGGGGAGAGUAGAGAGAUCAGAUCCGGGUCAUUCACGCUUUCCUGAUUCACGGGCCUGGGUCUGGUCCCCCUCUGCACCGCUCUGUGAUGCCUAUCUUCCAGGCCCUGACUCCUGCACUCCACCCUUUGGUAUGAGGAAGGCACAAGGCCAUCGGGAGCCUCUUGCUGCUCAAGGCAUCUUCUGGUCCACAGAGACCUGAUUCCCAGCCUCUACUUUUCCUUUUCUCGAAGCUUGGAUACCCAGAAUACCAGCUUGCCCAUGAAGCUCAGACUCCCAAAGAGGACGAAUUGAACUUCUCUGGACUCUACGUUCCCUCACCCCUACGUACCCCCUACGUCCUCCAUCCCCUUCCCUGUGCCCUGCUGAACCUAAAUCACCUGUUUUCUACACUCACCUCCUAAGCUCGCUGGGCUCCUCUACAGUAUAGCUUUGGCAUACUUCUCUGCCGGGCGUCCAGUGUACUGAGGCCAGCAGGGACCCGAAUUGGCACCCCAGGCCCUGACUUGGCCAUUCUACCGGAACUUCCUUCUUGCGAUGCCCUGGGCCCCCGCUUAACACUUGGCUCCAAUAGCAGGACGCUGGGUUUCCGUGCCUCUUCCUCAGCUAGGCCUCUUAAAACUGCAUCUCCAUCCUUCUCCCCAAUUUAGCUCUUGCCUUUCUCCUGAUUUCCCAGGUCCAGAAAGUCUAAACGUUUGUAGCCAGAAAAGACCAGAGAAGCUGGAAAUGCGGAUGCAGAGGCUCAGUUGGGUCCUGCGCCCGGGGAUGGAGGUCGGGGGGAGGUGCCCAGGCCCAAUGGUAGGUUCUCAAAGCUCUGGAGGACUUUAGUGGACUUUAGGACUUAGUGAGAGCUAAGCAGGACCUCAAAGCUGUGACUUCACAUCUCAGCAAAGAGCACGCAUCUCCCUCGCUCAAGGAUGUGUCUCUGUUGCCAGUGCGACAGCUCCACCUCGUGUAAGAAAAGGGAAUUGCUUUAAAAGAGAAUGGCGCCCUUAAGGGUAGGAUGCUUGGGUUAACAAAGUGGUCUCAAAAAACCCAGGGCUGGGUUUGUAUCUCAACGGUAGAGCACUUGCCUAGCAUUCCCAAGCUUCAGUGCCCAGCACCUAAAAAUGUAAGGAGCAUAAACAAAAACUAGUUCAUUAAAUAAACUACAACUGCUG
rnacentral:lncRNA from 1 species